rnacentral:lncRNA from 1 species
AGAGUAUUCUCCUUCCACCAUGGAAGGUUAGAGAUUCCUUGUUGUGCAUUCAUAUGCCUACAUGAUUAGGUAGCUUGACCACAACAAUGUCGUGGACACUCCAAUGGAAUGCCAUUGACAUGAUCAAAGAUCAAGGACCUAACCAUUAAACAUCUAUGAUGCCUUAGGUCAAAGGACUACUUUGCAUAUUGCAACUCUCGAGUUCUUACAUGACAUGUAUGUUC